CGUAGGGAAACCGAGAAGCGAGCCACAUGGGAAGUACGGCUCGCAAGGAUGAAACUUAAAGGAAAUUGGCGGGGGAGCACUACAACGGGUGGAGCCUGCGGUUUAAUUGGAUUCAACGCCGGAAAUCUCACCGGGGGCGACAGCAUGAUGAAGGCCAGGCUGAAGACCUUGCCUGAUCCGCUGAGAGGUGGUGCAUGGCCGUCGUCAGUUCGUACUGUGAAGCAUCCUGUUAAGUCAGGCAACGAGCGAGACCCACGCCCACAGUUGCCAGCGAGCCCUUCGGGGUGGCGGGUACUCUGUGGGGACCGCCGCUGCUAAAGCGGAGGAAGGAAUGGGCAACGGUAGGUCAGUAUGCCCCGAAUCUCCCGGGCUACACGCGGGCUACAAUGGUCGGUACAAUGGGUAUCUACCCCGAGAGGGGAUGGAAAUCUCCUAAAACCGGUCGUAGUUCGGAUUGAGGGCUGCAACUCGCCCUCAUGAAGCUGGAAUCCGUAGUAAUCGCGUUUCAACAGAACGCGGUGAAUACGUCCCUGCUCCUUGCACACACCGCCCGUCAAACCACCCGAGUAGGGUCUGGAUAAGGGUGCGCCAUGUUGACGCAUUCGAAUCUGGGCUUUGCAAGGGGGGUUAAGUCGUAACAAGGUAACCAAGGGCGAAU
rnacentral:rRNA from 1 species